GGUUAAGCGACUAAGCGUACACGGUGGAUGCCCUGGCAGUCAGAGGCGAUGAAGGGCGUGCUAAUCUGCGAUAAGCGCCGGUAAGGUGAUAUGAACCGUUAUAACCGGCGAUACCCGAAUGGGGAAACCCAGUGUGAUUCGUCACACUAUCAUUAACUGAAUCCAUAGGUUAAUGAGGCGAACCGGGGGAACUGAAACAUCUAAGUACCCCGAGGAAAAGAAAUCAACCGAGAUUCCCCCAGUAGCGGCGAGCGAACGGGGAGGAGCCCAGAGCCUGAAUCAGCAUGUGUGUUAGUGGAAGCGUCUGGAAAGGCGCGCGAUACAGGGUGACAGCCCCGUACACAAAAGCGCAUGUGCUGUGAGCUCGAUGAGUAGGGCGGGACACGUGGUAUCCUGUCUGAAUAUGGGGGGACCAUCCUCCAAGGCUAAAUACUCCUGACUGACCGAUAGUGAACCAGUACCGUGAGGGAAAGGCGAAAAGAACCCCGGCGAGGGGAGUGAAAAAGAACCUGAAACCGUGUACGUACAAGCAGUGGGAGCCCCACCACUAAGCCAGUGGUGAACUCCACAUACGCAUCCUUUGCUGAAGGCAAUGGUUAACGGAGCGAAAGCGACGUUCAACCGCAAAAGAAGCAGAGGGGGCUUAGUGGUGGGGUGACUGCGUACCUUUUGUAUAAUGGGUCAGCGACUUAUAUUCUGUAGCAAGGUUAACCGAAUAGGGGAGCCGUAGGGAAACCGAGUCUUAACCGGGCGUUAAGUUGCAGGGUAUAGACCCGAAACCCGGUGAUCUAGCCAUGGGCAGGUUGAAGGUUGGGUAACACUAACUGGAGGACCGAACCGACUAAUGUUGAAAAAUUAGCGGAUGACCUGUGGCUGGGGGUGAAAGGCCAAUCAAACCGGGAGAUAGCUGGUUCUCCCCGAAAGCUAUUUAGGUAGCGCCUCGUGAAUUCAUCUCCGGGGGUAGAGCACUGUUUCGGCUAGGGGGCCAUCCCGGCUUACCAACCCGAUGCAAACUGCGAAUACCGGAGAAUGUUAUCACGGGAGACACACGGCGGGUGCUAACGUCCGUCGUGAAGAGGGAAACAACCCAGACCGCCAGCUAAGGUCCCAAAGUCAUGGUUAAGUGGGAAACGAUGUGGGAAGGCCCAGACAGCCAGGAUGUUGGCUUAGAAGCAGCCAUCAUUUAAAGAAAGCGUAAUAGCUCACUGGUCGAGUCGGCCUGCGCGGAAGAUGUAACGGGGCUAAACCAUGCACCGAAGCUGCGGCAGCGACACUCAGGUGUUGUUGGGUAGGGGAGCGUUCUGUAAGCCUGUGAAGGUGGCCUGUGAGGGUUGCUGGAGGUAUCAGAAGUGCGAAUGCUGACAUAAGUAACGAUAAAGCGGGUGAAAAGCCCGCUCGCCGGAAGACCAAGGGUUCCUGUCCAACGUUAAUCGGGGCAGGGUGAGUCGACCCCUAAGGCGAGGCCGAAAGGCGUAGUCGAUGGGAAACAGGUUAAUAUUCCUGUACUUGGUGUUACUGCGAAGGGGGGACGGAGAAGGCUAUGUUGGCCGGGCGACGGUUGUCCCGGUUUAAGCGUGUAGGUGUGUGUUCCAGGUAAAUCCGGUUCACUUUAACACUGAGGCGUGAUGACGAGGCACUACGGUGCUGAAGCAACAAAUGCCCUGCUUCCAGGAAAAGCCUCUAAGCAUCAGGUAACAUCAAAUCGUACCCCAAACCGACACAGGUGGUCAGGUAGAGAAUACCAAGGCGCUUGAGAGAACUCGGGUGAAGGAACUAGGCAAAAUGGUGCCGUAACUUCGGGAGAAGGCACGCUGACACGUAGGUGAAGUGAUUUACUCAUGGAGCUGAAGUCAGUCGAAGAUACCAGCUGGCUGCAACUGUUUAUUAAAAACACAGCACUGUGCAAACACGAAAGUGGACGUAUACGGUGUGACGCCUGCCCGGUGCCGGAAGGUUAAUUGAUGGGGUCAGCGCAAGCGAAGCUCCUGAUCGAAGCCCCGGUAAACGGCGGCCGUAACUAUAACGGUCCUAAGGUAGCGAAAUUCCUUGUCGGGUAAGUUCCGACCUGCACGAAUGGCGUAAUGAUGGCCAGGCUGUCUCCACCCGAGACUCAGUGAAAUUGAACUCGCUGUGAAGAUGCAGUGUACCCGCGGCAAGACGGAAAGACCCCGUGAACCUUUACUAUAGCUUGACACUGAACAUUGAGCCUUGAUGUGUAGGAUAGGUGGGAGGCUUUGAAGUGUGGACGCCAGUCUGCAUGGAGCCGACCUUGAAAUACCACCCUUUAAUGUUUGAUGUUCUAACGUGGACCCGUAAUCCGGGUUGCGGACAGUGUCUGGUGGGUAGUUUGACUGGGGCGGUCUCCUCCUAAAGAGUAACGGAGGAGCACGAAGGUUGGCUAAUCCUGGUCGGACAUCAGGAGGUUAGUGCAAUGGCAUAAGCCAGCUUGACUGCGAGCGUGACGGCGCGAGCAGGUGCGAAAGCAGGUCAUAGUGAUCCGGUGGUUCUGAAUGGAAGGGCCAUCGCUCAACGGAUAAAAGGUACUCCGGGGAUAACAGGCUGAUACCGCCCAAGAGUUCAUAUCGACGGCGGUGUUUGGCACCUCGAUGUCGGCUCAUCACAUCCUGGGGCUGAAGUAGGUCCCAAGGGUAUGGCUGUUCGCCAUUUAAAGUGGUACGCGAGCUGGGUUUAGAACGUCGUGAGACAGUUCGGUCCCUAUCUGCCGUGGGCGCUGGAGAACUGAGGGGGGCUGCUCCUAGUACGAGAGGACCGGAGUGGACGCAUCACUGGUGUUCGGGUUGUCAUGCCAAUGGCACUGCCCGGUAGCUAAAUGCGGAAGAGAUAAGUGCUGAAAGCAUCUAAGCACGAAACUUGCCCCGAGAUGAGUUCUCCCUGAGACUUAGAGUCUCCUGAAGGAACGUUGAAGACGACGACGUUGAUAGGCCGGGUGUGUAAGCGCAGCGAUGCGUUGAGCUAACCGGUACUAAUGAACCGUGAGGCUUAACCUU
rnacentral:rRNA from 1 species